rnacentral:rRNA from 1 species
ACAUGCAAGUCGAACGAAGCUUCGGCCUUAGUGGCGCACGGGUGAGUAACGCGUGGGAAUCUGCCUAUCAGUGGGGAAUAACGACGGGAAACUGUCGCUAAUACCGCAUACGCCCUUCGGGGGAAAGAUUUAUCGCUGAUAGAUGAGCCCGCGUACGAUUAGCUAGUUGGUGAGGUAAUGGCUCACCAAGGCUACGAUCGUUAGCUGGUCUGAGAGGAUGAUCAGCCACACUGGGACUGAGACACGGCCCAGACUCCUACGGGAGGCAGCAGUGGGGAAUAUUGGACAAUGGGCGAAAGCCUGAUCCAGCAAUGCCGCGUGAGUGAUGAAGGCCUUAGGGUUGUAAAGCUCUUUCGGGUGGGACGAUGAUGACGGUACCACCAGAAGAAGCCCCGGCUAACUUCGUGCCAGCAG